UGGAACUCAGUGCUCACUAGGUGGAGUGGAU
rnacentral:piRNA from 1 species